CCUACGGGUGGCAGCAGUGAGGAAUAUUGGUCAAUGGGCGCGAGCCUGAACCAGCCAAGUAGCGUGAAGGAUGACUGCCCUACGGGUUGUAAACCUCUUUUAUAAAGGAAUAAAGUGAGGCACGUGUGCCUUUUUGUAUGUACUUUAUGAAUAAGGAUCGGCUAACUCCGUGCCAGCAGCCGCGGUAAUACGGAGGAUCCGAGCGUUAUCCGGAUUUAUUGGGUUUAAAGGGAGCGUAGAUGGGUUGGUAAGUCAGUUGGGAAAGUUUGGGGCUCAACCGUAAAAGUGCAAUUGAUACUGGCAGUCUUGAGUACAGGUGAGGUAGGCGGAAUUCGUGGUGUAGCGGUGAAAUGCUUAGAUAUCACGAAGAACUCCGAUUGCGAAGGCAGCUUACUAGACUGCCACUGACGUUGAGGCUCGAAAGUGUGGGUAUCAAAAAGGAUUAGAUACCCGGGUAGUC
rnacentral:rRNA from 1 species